GUUGCUUUCCAUUAAAGUACCCAAAGCGAAGUGUUGACCUUUCACUUCAGUUUGGCUGAAAAAAUACUUUGCAAAUGAGUCAGUCAGGAAACAUGUUCCGCACAGUGUUUGCUGGAAAAUAUUUUGCUUUCUGCGGAAUUAAAUAAGUAAAGCCUUCGUGAAAACCCGAGGAAAUCCAACCAAGUUCACGGCGGAACUUCGGCACGAAGACUUUAUGCAAGAGCAACUGAGAAGCAGAAGAAGCGAGGUCCAACCGUCUUCUGUAUAUCCGUUUGGAUUAUUUGGGAAUGUGCAUACAGGCCAGGAACAUGUAUGCAGCAUGAGAACCAGAUGCAGCCGUUACGGCAGAUAUUUUAUACCGCUGCCGGUAGGGCAAGAUCCGGAAAUUUUUUUCUACGUGUCAUUCGUGCUGUGUAAAAUGUAUAUAGACAUUGAAAUAAAAUAAUGAUCAUUUCGCAUCAAUCGCAUAAAUAUAACAUUAAUCGAAGAAAAACCAAAUUUUUUUUUAAAUUUUCCUGGGAAAAUCGAUUUUUGAUUUUGAGUAAUUUUUAUUCAACCGCAGUCUUUUUAGUACAGUUAUUUUCACUCAAAAUGAAGUCUUUAAAAACUACUUAAAAUUAAGUACUUCGCGAAAAACUCAAUUUUGAGUUGUUGCACUUAGCUGUCAAGUUGAGUGAAAAUGACUUAAUUUUGGAUUGUUUCGAAUUUCAGUGCAUGCGACUGCACACUCAGAAAUAUAAUAAAUCCACGAUAGGUUUGAAAUAAACCUUUAAAGUCAUUUUUUGUUGUUAUACCUUACAUAGUAUAAAAUGUAUAC